UACGAGCUCAUAUUUGUGUUUUUAUAUCCAACGUUUGACCAUUUAUCUUAUUUGAAUUUUUUUAUGAUUUAUAUUUUUAUUAUUAUUAGAUGAUAAACCAUAAAUAGUAUUUUAUGCGUGACUAUUUUUUAUGUUUUUUUAUAAAUUUUUAAAUAAGAUAGAUAAUCAAACGUUGGACACAAAAACUCAUAAACUGAAG
rfam:Oryza punctata chromosome 3, whole genome shotgun sequence.